GACGAACUGCCCAAACGUUGUUCGGAAUCACUGGGCUUAAAGGGUGCGUAGGCGGCUUAUCAAGUCAGGGGUGAAAUCCGGCAGCUCAACUCCAGAACUGCCUUUGAUACUGAAGAUCUUGAGUUCGGGAGAGGUGAGUGGAACUGCGAGUGUAGAGGUGAAAUUCGUAGAUAUUCGCAAGAACACCAGUGGCGAAGGCGGCUCACUGGCCCGAUACUGACGCUGAGGCACGAAAGCGUGGGGAGCAAACAGG
rnacentral:rRNA from 1 species